GACAGAGGAUGCAAGCGUUAUCCGGAAUGAUUGGGCGUAAAGCGUCUGUAGGUGGCUUUUUAAGUCCGCCGUCAAAUCCCAGGGCUCAACCCUGGACAGGCGGUGGAAACUACCAAGCUGGGGUACGGUAGGGGCAGAGGGAAUUUCCGGUGGAGCGGUGAAAUGCGUAGAUAUUACCAGGAACACCAAUGGCGAAGGCAGCUUGCUGGGCCACUCCUGACACUGAGGUACGAAAGCGUGGGGAGCGAACAGG
rnacentral:rRNA from 1 species